GAUGAACGCUGGCGGCGUGCCUAAUACAUGCAAGUCGAGCGAACAGAUGAGGAGCUUGCUCCUCUGACGUUAGCGGCGGACGGGUGAGUAACACGUGGAUAACCUACCUAUAUGACUGGGAUCACUUCGGGAAACCGGAGCUAAUCCCGGAUAAUAUAUUGAACCGCAUGGUUCAAUAGUGAAAGACGGUUUUGCUGUCACUUAUAGAUGGAUCUGCGCCGCAUUAGCUAGUUGGUAAGGUCACGGCUUACCAAGGCAACGAUGCGUAGCCGACCGGAGAGGGUGAGUGGCCACACUGGAACUGAGACACGGUCCAGACUCCUACGGGAGGCAGCAGUAGGGAAUCUUCCGCAAUGGGCGGAAGCCUGACGGAGCAACGCCGCGUGAGGGAUGAAGGUCUUCGGAUCGUAAAACUCUGUUAUUAGGGAAGAACAAAUUUGUAAGUAACUAUGCACGUCUGGACGGUACCUAAGCAGAAAGCCACGGCUAACUUCGUG
rnacentral:rRNA from 1 species